CAACUGAGCCACCCAGGCGCCCCAGAAAAGGAGAAUUUUGAAGUAAUAGUGUAUUUCCUUUGCUUACAUUGCUUAGUUUCUAGAUUAAAAAGAACUUUAGUACACUCAUUAUUCCACUCCCCAACUUUUAAGGUUUUUAGUCUUA